ensembl:lncRNA
AUGGGAUAAAUGCUAAGUCCAGGUGAUCCUCAGAUCAUCCUGUGGCGUGGAUGAAAUUGAUGAAUGAAUAGAAGAUGCACAAUCCAAGCUGUGGCCAAGAAGUCCAAGAUCAUACGCAUGUGAGAUUGGGGAUAAUCACCCACCUAUGAAGACAGCAGUAGGAUGCUCAUUAAGACUCAGUCGACAACACUUUUAGCGCUCAUAGGUCUGCGCUACACUGAAAAUGCUAAGUUAUGUUUGCACCAGGACAAUAAAAUCCUACUCAGCAAUAAAGGAGAAGAAGCUAUUGACAAACAUGACAACGUGGGCAAAUCUCAAAGGCAGGAUGCUGGGGGAAAGAGGACAGGCUCGAAAGGUUAAAUACUGCCUGGGUCCAUUUACGUGACUUUCUGGAAAAGGCAAGACUGGAGCGGGAGCAGGUGAGUGGUUGUAGGGGGCAGGAAGGGGAGAGUGUGCUGCAGAGACAGCACGGGUGAUGGCACUGCUCUGCGUCCUGAUUGUGGCGGGGGCUACAGGAAUCUGGACGUGCAUGAAAACUCAUAAAAUUGCACACCAAAAAAACCUUAAUUUUACUAUAUGUUAAUUUAAAAAAACAAACAAAAAAGUCGUUCCUGAAGAAUAUGAUGAGCUUUCAAUACUUGAAUAUCUUCUUCUAACAACAGUAAAGCAUUUAGAGAGAUAUUUUAAAAAUGCCCCAGGCCACGGGGCCCUGACCACUCCUGGCGUGGCGAUUGGAGUGCUCCAGGGCGAGGAGAAAGUGGAGAUUCUGGAACUGCAUGAAGAGCACUAGCUUCCUUGCCUCAAUUCCUCUUUCACUUUCCACAAAAAGACAAGGGAACUGCAGGCUGUGGUUGACAUACAUGAAAGGGCCAUUCACAGGAAAAGGAUUGCUCAUUCGCUCAUGCAAUGGUGAUAGUGAACCACAGGCUCAUCGCAUCAGAGGAGAGUGCUUGACUUCUCCAAGGAUGAGAUGCAUGGUGACAGUGAGGACCAGAAGGUGCCAUCCGCCUGAUGCUUGUGCUGAGAGAGCUGCUCGGAGCGCAACAUCACAAUCAAACAUGAUCUUCCUCUUUGCCCCGUCAGCCAACCUUUUCAGCAGCGCAACUUCAGACGGACAACGGGAGAGUCUCUAAGCUUUUUCGGUGGUAGCCUGCUGCACCAAACAUCCUCAGGAGCUGUUGAUUCUUUCCCCCUUGGCUGACUGUAAGCUGUGAAACGAGGCAAAAAUGAAGCCCCUCCGUGUCUGCAGCAUGAAGGAAGGUGGGGGGCAAAGAAUCACUUGCUCUGGGAGAGCUGACGCCAUGUCAGGAGGACACUCAAGCAGGCCUGUGGAGAAGGACGUGUGGAGAGGAACGAGGCCUCCUCACAACAGCCAGCAUCACGUUUCCAUCUGGAUGAGUGAGCCGUCCUGGAAACGGAUCCUCCAGCCCCAGUGACGCCUUCCCAUGACCGCAGCCCUGGCCGACAUCUUGACUGCAGCCUCAUGAGAGACCUUGAGCCAGAAAUACCCAGUUAAACGGCUCCUGGAUUCCUGACCCACAGAAACUCUGUGACAGGAUCGAGGGACAUGGUGACCGACCCAAUCGAGCUGUGAUGGAAUCAAGAGGAGGACCUGGCGACCCUAGCGGCCAGACCACUCCUGGGCAUUGGUUUGAGGAUCACCCAGCAUCACCCUUCUUAUGUGCCUGACAGCAAAGCCCUGC